rnacentral:rRNA from 1 species
UUAANAAGCUCGUAGUUGAACCUUGGGCCUGGCUGGCCGGUCCGCCUCACCGCGUGCACUGGUUCGGCCGGGCCUUUCCCUCUGGGGAACCUCAUGCCCUUCACUGGGUGUGAUGGGGAACCAGGACUUUUACUGUGAAAAAAUUAGAGUGUUCAAAGCAGGCCUAUGCUCGAAUACAUUAGCAUGGAAUAAUAGAAUAGGACGUGUGGUUCUAUUUUGUUGGUUUCUAGGACCGCCGUAAUGAUUAAUAGGGACAGUCGGGGG